rnacentral:rRNA from 1 species
CAGUAGCCACGGUAAUACGAAGGGGGCUAGCGUUGUUCGGAAUUACUGGGCGUAAAGCGCACGUAGGCGGAUAUUUAAGUCAGGGGUGAAAUCCCGCAGCUCAACUGCGGAACUGCCUUUGAUACUGGGUAUCUUGAGUCCGGGAGAGGUGAGUGGAACUGCGAGUGUAGAGGUGAAAUUCGUAGAUAUUCGCAAGAACACCAGUGGCGAAGGCGGCUCACUGGCCCGGUACUGACGCUCAUGCACGAAAGCGUGGGGAGCAAACAGGAUUAGAUACCCCUGUAGUCCCUGUCUCUUAUAA